rnacentral:rRNA from 1 species
GAUGAACGCUGGCGGCGUGCUUAACACAUGCAAGUCGAACGAUGAAGCCCAGCUUUCUUGGUGGGGUAGUGUCGAACGGGUGAGUAACACGUGAGUAACCUGCCCUUGACUCUGGGGUAAGCCUGUGGAACUGGGUCUAAUACCGGAUAGAAGAGUCCACGGCAUGGUGGGUUUUGUAAAGAUUUAUCGGUUUUGGCUGGACUCGGGGCCUAUCAGCAUGUUGGUGAGGUAGUGGCUCACCAAGGCGACGACGGGUAGCCAGACUGAGACUGUGACACGGCCCAGACGGCUACGGGAGGCAGCAGUAGGGAAUCGGGGGCAAUGGACGGGAGUCUGACCGAGAAACGCCGCGUGAGUGAAGAAGGUCGUCGGAUCGGAGAUCUCUGUUGUAAGGUUGGAACGAGCGUGAGGGUGGAAAGUACAGACUGUGACGGUACCUGAACAGAAAGCGACGGCUAACUACGUG